GACUCCGCUGCCCGAUCCGCUCCCCAAACCCUAACCCUAGUAUUCAUCUCCCCAGAUCCCGGCGAUGCUGACGAAAUUCGAGACCAAGAGCAACCGCGUUAAGGGGCUGAGCUUCCACACCAAGCGUCCAUGGAUCCUCGCCAGCCUCCACAGCGGUGUCAUCCAGCUCUGGGACUACCGCAUGGGGACGCUCAUCGACCGCUUCGAGGAGCACGACGGCCCCGUCCGCGGCGUCCACUUCCACAAGUCCCAGCCGCUCUUCGUCUCCGGAGGCGAUGAUUACAAGAUUAAGGUGUGGAAUUACAAGACG
rnacentral:misc_RNA from 1 species